ensembl:snoRNA U3 Small nucleolar RNA U3
CAGCCCUCAGGGAUCAUUUCUAUAGUUCGUUACUAGAGAAGUUUCUCUGGCUAUGUUGAGUACCAGAAACCAUGAGGAGGAGGUUGGCGUUCUCUCCUGAGUGUGAAGCCGGCUCUAGGUGUUGCUUUGCUGCAACUACCACCAGCCAUUGAUGAUCAUUCCUGCUCUCCUUCUGGAAGGCUGGAGGGAGAGGAUGCAGUCUGAAUGAC